AAGAUUCAUUGGAUUAUAUAUGUAAUACAAUAAUAGCAAAAAUACAAUGCCUACAAAAGGUAUUGGCACACUGUAUUUAUUACACUGUAUUUUUACAGCAUUUACAUAAUAAUUAAUUAGGUUCAAGUAUAUUAAAUUUUGUAUUAUGUAAUAGUAAUUUCAUAUAACUACAAAAAUUUAAUAUUUUAAAUAUGAGGUGACGAACCUGAUAGAAAAAAAGGUUUCAUUGUAUAUCAACUUUUUUGUUUAUUUGGUACAUUAAAUUAUGAGAGUUUUACAAUAGAAUUAAAAAUUGUAGACACAGAGAAAAUCAAUUGAAAACGAGUUUAUAUGUAAGAGGAAGUCCGUGGUGCUCACUGUCAUGAAAGGAUCCAGUCUUGCUUAUCAGGUUCCUCUAGCUACUUUAACAAUAAGCCCUUAAAAUCACAUUCUUCAAGGUCCUAACUCUAUUCGCCAAAAAUUACUAUUAUUGAAUUUCCACAUAUAAAAGAAUGAAAGUACAAUACAAAUAUUAAAAGAUAAAUAUUGUUUAAAAUGAAAUAUCAUAAUUGUGAAUACGUGAUUUUCUGUAUCGCAUUCAUGGUGUGUUUUUCAAAAUAUUUACUAUGAUUUAUUUCAGUGUGAAUACAUGUACGUAUAUGAUUUAUUUUCGUAUAAAAGUUUAUGGCUACUUAAAGACGUACGUGACGUAGGUCAAUGAUCGAACUAUAAAUCAAUAUUCGCCUAGAAAUGUUUCCAGUCACUCACAUCGCAAUUUUUUGGAAUUUCCACGCAAAAAGAGGUACAAUUCAAAUAAAAUGAUUUUUUAUUUACAUUAUAGAAAUAUAUUCUAUUACUAGAGGUCAAUAAUAUAGAACAAUAAUAUAGAACAAUAAUAAGAUCUUUAAAAGUAUAAAAAUGUAAGUCUAAAAACAUAAGAAAUAUUUAAAAUGAAGUACACAGUUGUUAUAUGUAUCCCUGAAUGGAUAAAACUUAUGUUAAUAAAGAUGUGUAUAAAAGUGUAUAAAAAUCCAUAAUCUAGUAUAUUAUUCAAGUCUGUACAAUUACGUUAUUAAUGCUGAAAAUGAUUUCUACAAGCUUUCAUUUAAGAUGAUGAGCAAUUUAGAUAACUUUAUGAAAACUUCAAAAGAAAAAUUGGCGAUGAGUCUUUUAUAUGAUAAUAGCGAAUGUGAGAAUUGAAAUAUGUAUCACAAACAUACUUUCACGCACAUAUUCGUGUCGAUGCAAGUGUACGUUGAUGAAUAAGAAGCCCUGUACGUAUUUUGUAUUAUUCGUGCAGUUAAAUACAGACAAUGCGAAUGGUUGUCUGUUUAAGUCAAUUACUGUAACCAGCGUCAUUCCAGGUAAUCUCAACUAUCUCGUAGGUUUGCUGCACAUUUAACAGUCAGCAUGCAGUCAUCCAACUAUUAUGUCAUUCGGAUCCUAUAAGAAUAGAUCUACAACAGUGGUUCUCAAAUUAUUCUUUAUGAAUUUGGGAGAUGAAAAUUAUAACACAAAUCAGUCCACUAUUAAUUUUUAUAAAACGACAUUCUGCAUUUAUUAUUAUAAAAAUUUAUAUUGUUACAAGGCAUGAAUACUCGUCGUAGCAGUAAAUAAGAUCAUAACAUAAUUUAAUUAAGUACAAAACUAAAAAGAUAAUACGUUUAAAAAUUAACAUAUAUAUAGGAUUGUGUGAAUUCAAAUUCUCAAAAUCUUAAUUUAUAUUACCAUGAUUUUGAGUUUGUCAAUUUUAUUAAGAAUCUAUUUCGAUCAUUUUCCUAUAUAUCGAAAAACAUAACCUAUAAUAUAGAUGGUACUCUAAAGUUCAACAACCAAAUUUUGUAAUUAUACUCCAUGACUAUGAUUAAUAAAAGAAUAUUAUAUAAACACAAAAUAUUGAAUUUAUUAUUCUAUGAAGCUCAUUCUUGUUUUAUUUAAUAAAAUUAUGCACGUAUAAAAGUUCAAUGGUUUAUUUUUUAUGGUUGAAAAUCACUGCUGUACAAUUUCAUGAAUGUAAUUGUAAUAUAUCCUCGAUCGGUAAAUCAGCGUAAAAACAACUGAUUGUGAAAAACAAUUUACUUGAAAAUGAAUGACCUUAGAAAAAUCAUAUAUGGUGAUUCGUUGACUGAUGAGUCAUUCUACUUUCCAAAUCUAUUGAUUGUGGCAUUCGUGACAUAUGAUCCAACAUGAUUACAUGUGCACAAUUUGUCUAUGAUUUUCAUCCAUGAAAAUCUUGUGAACCUAAGAAACUUCCUUGCUACGUUAUAUAGAUCUCCUAAGGUUAUGUUUCUCUUAGCUAUAUGAAAAAUGCAUUAAGAUGCUAACGAAAGUCUAAUGAAGCUUUGCAGUGAUCUCCUACUCCACAUAAUCAAGAUGUUUUGCUUAUUACUAUUUUACGUUAGCAAGAAAAUUCAUUAAUUAAGUUAUUAUAAUGUAACAUUUGUAUUUAAAAGGUGGUGUAGUUAAAACAUUUUGAGCAUUACUAUGUAAAAAGUAGUUAAUUUAUAUUCAUUAUUUGAUUUAUUUAAAUUUAUGAAAUUUCAUACUUGUUUAUAUAAAUGUAUGUUUUAGUAUUUUUAAUAUGUAAAUAUAUGUAUAGUAUGUUAGAUAAAAAUGUUGCCCCUCCAACAAUUUAACUUUUUCACAAAACUGAGCAGUGAAGCUUGACAAACGUUUUUCUUGGUUCGCGAACUAUGAAUUACUUGUAGUUGUUACAAGUGCAUCUCGCUUUUAUUUCCCAUUUAGAUGUUAAAUUGAUCGAAUAAAAAUGUAUACUUCGCUUGUUUUAUUAUAGAAAAGAGGAAAACAGUGAAUCCGCUUUAUACAAUGAAUAUUUUAUCUGUUAUUCUAAAACAAUUUUGUAAAUAUUAAUAAACAAAUUAAUACAAAAAAUAUCAUUUUAUUUUUAUUGUUUGUUUUUAUUAUUUAUUGUCAGUCACGUUUAAAUGGAAUGUAGGACAAUUGUCAAUCGUGAAAUGAAUAUCGUUAUGCAAGAUUAUGGAAAUCGCUUCCGCUUUUCAUCACAACAAUCCGAUAGUCAUCCGAGAUAGCGAGGUGCAGAAUUUGUUCCGGUUGACAUAAUAGUUACAGGAUGU